CCCCUCUCAGGAUCACACCUGGAGAAUUUCCAGGACUCCACCAGUCUCGGCUACGAGAGGAAGAGCCGAGCAGGGGCAUAUCCAUUCCAUUCCUAGUUUGGCCAGUGGCUAGCGAGUGGAAGGCAAUCUGUUACAAGU